rnacentral:rRNA from 1 species
CGAAUCCCACGGGGCCUUGCUCCGUGGGGGAAGCGGCGAAAGGGGCAGUAAGGCGUGGGUAACCUACCCCGGGGACGGGGAUAGCCACCCUAACGGGUGGGUAAUACCUGGCGAUCCGUCGAGGGGGCCUCCCCUUGCCGGGAAAUGAGUUUCGCCUCAGGAGGGGCCCACGUGGUAUUAGCUAGUUGGCGGGGUAACGGCCCACCAAGGCGGCGAUGCCUAGCGGGUGUGAGAGCAUGACCCGCGCCAUUGGCACUGAGACACUGGCCAGACUCCUACGGGAGGCUGCAGUCGAGAAUCUUCGGCAAUGGGCGCAAGCCUGACCGAGCGACGCCGCGUGUGCGACGAAGGCCUUCGGGUUGUAAAGCACUGUCGGGGGGGAGGAAAGCCGCGAGGCCUGACCUAUCCCUGGAGGAAGCACGGGCUAAGUUCGUGCCAGCAGCCGCGGUAAGACGAACCGUGCGAACGUUGUUCGGAAUCACUGG